rnacentral:rRNA from 1 species
CGUAAAGGGAAGCACUUGAAGUCAGCCAUGCGGCUCGAGACUCAGCCUGGCUCUGGCCGGGUGUACGUUCUCGGGUGGCAAGUCAGCAUUGGUUUGAGUCGUCGGAGAAGAGGUUAGGAAUGUGGCAUCUUCGGAUGUGUUAUAGCCUAGCACUGGAUACGACGACCCAGACCAAGGAACGCAGUGCGCCUUGUGGCGGGUCUACGGACACCUUCGCACUUAGGAUGCUGGCGUAAUGGCUUUAAGUGGCCCGUCUUGUAACACGGACCAAGGAGUCUAACAUAUGUGCGAGUUUUUGGGUGGCAAACCCAUGAGCGGAAUGAAAGUGAAUACAGGUGGGAUCCGCAAGGAGCACCAUCGACCGGCCCUGAUGUUUUCGGACGGGUCCGAGUAAGAGCAUAUAUGUUGGGACCCGAAAGAUGGUGAACUAUGCCUGAAUAGGGCGAAGCCAGAGGAAACUCUGGUGGAGGCUCGCAGCGGUUCUGACGUGCAAAUCGAUCGUCGA